rnacentral:lncRNA from 1 species
GGUCUUCUGUACUUAUUCACCGGGGAAUGCCCCGACGUAUCAUGUUGGCGGAAAAUGAUCGUGAUGAAGGCCCGCGGAAUCGGGUAAGGCAUUGGAGAUUAGUCUAGGGUAGAAUAGAUUUAUAUUUCCACAUUAUUUAUUUUUGGACUGUAUAAUUGGACUGGACUUUACAUUUUUAGAUUGUUUUGCUUUGUUUAUUGUUUGAUAAUUUUGCGUGCUUUUGUGUGGUUUGUACAUUUC